AAACUGUCAUGAGAUGCGCAUAUUUUAGAUAGAGGCUGCUUGCCUUAGUUUGGGCACCUAAUGAAAAAGACAUGGAGGCCAGGAGCGGUGGCUCAUGUCUGUAAUCCCAGCACUUUGGGAGGCCAAGGCGGGUGGAUCACCUGAGGUCAGGAGUUCGAGACCAGCCUGACCAACAUGGCGAAACCCCGUCUGUACUAAAAGUGCAAACACAAAGGGAACUGCAUGGCUUGUUUCUACCUGAACAUUGUCAAGUGAUUUCAUUCUUUGAAACACGGAUGUGAAGUGUGUCCAGCAGUCUGAGAACAAGAAGAAGAAGAAGAAAAUCUAAUCUCUCAGGGUGGCUGUGUGCCAGCCCUGCUCUCAGCACUUCCCAAGUGGAACUCCUUUACUUCUCCUAACAGCUCCAUGACAUGGGUUAGACUGUGAUUGUUCCCAUAUUGUUGAUAGGGAAACUGAGGCAUGCAGGUGUUACAGGGCUCUCUCAAGUGGCAAGCUUUCUGGGUGAUUACACAGUGGCAGAGCUGGGGUACCCCAUGAUGUCACCACACUGCUAUAUGGAAAGGAACAUUAAUCGAGCACCUACGUGCUUAAUUCUCUUAAUUCUGUGACUGAACUCUCAAAACACCCUGGAGCACCACGUGUUUUGAAAUAUACAAAUAGUGGGAAAUGAAAUCUUUGUUCUGGAUGCAGUUAUAAUUUGGAAAGUGAGGAAAUAAAUUAUAACAAGGGGAAAAAACAG
rnacentral:lncRNA from 1 species